rnacentral:misc_RNA from 1 species
GUGAAUCAUCAAAUUUUUGAACGCACAUUGCACUCUCCUCUGAGAGUAUGCCUGUUUGAGGGCCAGCCUAUUAAAAAUCGACAUCGUUGCUUUUUCGCGGUGGCGUUCGUCGGAAAUUGGGUCAUCUUAAAUCCUUUUGAUUUAAGCGACUUAAAAUUUUCUUUUGGUUCCAUGGACGUUACUUAGCGCUAUUUCUUUACACGUGUAAGGUCUCGAUU